rnacentral:rRNA from 1 species
CACGUAGGGGGCGAGCGUUGUCCGGAUUUAUUGGGCGUAAAGAGCUCGUAGGCGGUUUCGUAAGUCGGAUGUGAAAACUCCAGGCUCAACUUGGAGACGCCAUUCGAUACUGGAUGGCUUGAAUCCGGGAGAGGGAUGCAGAAUUCCAGGUGUAGCGGUGAAAUGCGUAGAUAUCUGGAGGAACACCGGUGGCGAAGGCGGCAUCCUGGACCGGCAUUGACGCUGAGGAGCGAAAGCUAGGGGAGCAAACGGG